ACAGAGAUGCGAUUUAUUUGAAAUACUUCUAUUUCAAAUGCAAAUAUAAAAUGCAAAAUACCUAUUUUGUAUUUUGCAUUUAAAUGCCUUUCAGUAAAAAACAUUUUGUAUUUUAUUUGAAAUACCUUUCGAUAUGUAUUUUGCAUUUUUAAUAUUCAUUUCAAAAUGCAAAAUACUUUGUGAUUAAGUUUAGCCAACAUUAGCAGUCAAACAAAAUGAAUUGAACGAAUGACGCUUGUAUUGCCGAAUUUGACCGUUAGAGGCGCCUGAGGGCCUACCGCGAACCACGUUCGACGUGUUGCCUCCCUGUCACACUUACGUACGAAUUUACAAGUGCGACAGAGAGGCAAAACGUCGAACGUGGUUCGCGGUAGGCCCCUGAUAGCCAUGCGUGCCCUUUUUUACUUCUUUAGUGCGCGCCUUAUGUCGGACUAGUGUCAAUGUCAAAAGAAAACUACGAACAUUAUCUAUGGCUAUAAAAACGUAACGCCACUGACGCCGACGAUUCGAUUUCACGGAUUUAUUGUUUGCUGGUGCUGGUGAAGUGGUUACUGAUUUAAUUUGAUUACCUACUUUUAUGAUAUUGAAGUGUUGUUGUUAUCCCUACAAUACUGAAACGGCUAUGUACUGUACUGCAAGAUAAUUUAGAUAAUGUAAACAGACGUGACGUGGUGGAUUUGGUGUGUGGUGCUGGUGUUUAACAAUUCUAGCAAAAAAAAUGGAUAACCCUAAUCUACCAUUUAUAUUAAGGCACUGUUUUAAAGACGUGAAGAAGGAGGCUGAUCAUGAAAGCAAUAUAAGUGCUGUUUGCAAGAUAUGUUCAAAAACAUUGAAGGGAAGUCUGCACGCAACAACAAACUUCUUAAACCAUAUUAAA